UGAGGAAUAUUGGUCAAUGGGCGCAAGCCUGAACCAGCCAUCCCGCGUGCAGGAUGAAGGCCCUAUGGGUCGUAAACUGCUUUUAUACACCAAGAAAAACACCCACGUGUGGGUGCCCGACGGUAGUGUAUGAAUAAGCAUCGGCUAACUCCGUGCCAGCAGCCGCGGUAAUACGGAGGAUGCAAGCGUUAUCCGGAUUCAUUGGGUUUAAAGGGUGCGUAGGCGGCUUUUUAAGUCAGUGGUGAAAUCUUGCCGCUUAACGGUAAAAUUGCCAUUGAUACUGAUAAGCUUGAGUACAAUUGAGGUAAGCGGAAUGUGUAGUGUAGCGGUGAAAUGCUUAGAUAUUACACAGAACACCGAUUGCGAAGGCAGCUUACUAAACUGUUACUGACGCUGAUGCACGAAAGCGUGGGGAGCGAACAGG
rnacentral:rRNA from 1 species